rnacentral:rRNA from 1 species
UACGUAGGGGGCAAGCGUUGUCCGGAAUCAUUGGGCGUAAAGCGCGUGUAGGCGGCCAUGUAAGUCCGCUCUGAAAGCCCGGGGCUCAACCCCGGGAGGCGGAUGGAUACUGCAUGGCUCGAGUACGGAAGAGGCGAGUGGAAUUCCCGGUGUAGCGGUGAAAUGCGCAGAUAUCAGGAGGAACACCGGUGGCGAAGGCGGGUCUCUGGGCAGCAACUGACGCUGAGGCACGAAGGCCAGGAGAGCAAACGGG